GUGACCGUAGCUCAACUGGUGAGAGCGCUGGAGUACAAAUAUGCAGGUCGUAGGUUUGAAUCCCGCCGGCCGCC
rnacentral:tRNA from 1 species